ACGCUAGCUACAGGCUUAACACAUGCAAGUCGAGGGGAAACGGCAUUAAGUGCUUGCACUUUUUGGACGUCGACCGGCGCACGGGUGAGUAACGCGUAUCCAACCUUCCCAUGACUAAGGGAUAACCUGCCGAAAGGCAGACUAAUACCUUAUGGUCUUCACUGACGGCAUCAGAUGUGAAGUAAAGAUUUAUCGGUUAUGGAUGGGGAUGCGUCUGAUUAGCUUGUUGGCGGGGUAACGGCCCACCAAGGCAACGAUCAGUAGGGGUUCUGAGAGGAAGGUCCCCCACAUUGGAACUGAGACACGGUCCAAACUCCUACGGGAGGCAGCAGUGAGGAAUAUUGGUCAAUGGGCGAGAGCCUGAACCAGCCAAGUAGCGUGCAGGACGACGGCCCUAUGGGUUGUAAACUGCUUUUGUAUGGGGAUAAAGUCAAUCACGUGUGAUUGUUUGCAGGUACCAUACGAAUAAGGACCGGCUAAUUCCGUGCCAGCAGCCGCGGUAAUACGGAAGGUCCGGGCGUUAUCCGGAUUUAUUGGGUUUAAAGGGAGCGUAGGCUGGAGAUUAAGUGUGUUGUGAAAUGUAGACGCUCAACGUCUGACUUGCAGCGCAUACUGGUUUCCUUGAGUACGCACAACGUUGGCGGAAUUCGUCGUGUAGCGGUGAAAUGCUUAGAUAUGACGAAGAACUCCGAUUGCGAAGGCAGCUGACGGGAGCGCAACUGACGCUGAAGCUCGAAGGUGCGGGUAUCGAACAGGAUUAGAUACCCUGGUAGUCCGCACAGUAAACGAUGGAUGCCCGCUGUUGGUACCUGGUAUCAGCGGCUAAGCGAAAGCAUUAAGCAUCCCACCUGGGGAGUACGCCGGCAACGGUGAAACUCAAAGGGAAUUGACGGGGGCCCGCACAAGCGGAGGAACAUGUGGUUUAA
rnacentral:rRNA from 1 species